AACUCACCAAGUUCAUGGGGCAAUUCGUGGCAGAGAACAGCAAGUGAUGUCGCCAAUCCGGUUUUCCAUGAGGUUGAAAAUGCGGCUCCGAUCGCCAUACCAUCUGCAAAGUUGUGAAUUGCGUCUCCAAUAGUGAUCAUGUAGGGAAUCAUUCGCUGCUCUGUGACGAUACAGAAUAUAUAUUGUAUUCCAUAAUCUUUGAUUUAUUGUCUAAAAUUUUAAUACAUUUACAAAUUAUAAAUCAUACAAAAACAAGCAAUCAUUGGCAAUGAUGCCAAACGGCCAUUCUCUCCACAUUCAGUCCUCUAUUAUAGGAAUUCCAUAUAUUGUUCUAUGUUUUGUUCUGUUGUUGGAAAGUUCAUAUAUUACGGUUUUACUUCACAUACGUACAUUAUUACUAAAGUCGCCCUGUAAAGCUCAGUCAUCUUCCACUUACAAAGACAGUCUGUGGACUUUAUAGGAAAGCAUGUUUAUCUUGGGCCAGCAUUAGGAAGCCCAGAUCAGCCCUCAUAUAGUCUAGGAUUGUUACGUCAUUAGAUCAAUUUUCGGUGAGGCUCGUUCUCAAUCCCCCAAGUCAGAGAGGGAACAUCAUAUCUUCUCUGGUAAAAUAUUUGGAGUCUCACCUAUCACAUGAAAUCUUUCCUGAAUCUCAACAUUCUAGUGCCUUUUAGGACCGCAUGUCAGCUAGCAAGGACUCGUAUGUCACCAGUUCUAGAUUACUGCUUUGCAGCUUGCCGGUACCUGGGAGAGUCACAGCUUUACAUAGUUUGCACAUUUUAAUCUGUUAUCCUCUGUAACUUAUUUAGAUAUUAAUUCAGUUUCUUUAUAUAGUUUUUCACACAACCCUCUCAAUUCUGAUCAUACACUGGGGUUAAUAAGAUUUUGUAACAGAGCUCCCUGUACCCCAGCUGGGUACCUCUGCCAAGGACCACUUCCUAGCUGUAACAGGGGACAAAACGCAGCACUUCUGGCCACAAUCACUGUGGCUUGACUGGGGUCUUGGAACGGCUCUCUCCUGGAGCCGAAUGGGGAAUUCGCUCUAGACACCCCCAGGCACUGGACAACACCCCGUGGGAGCUCUAGUCCUUGCAAGGACUUUCUCUGUUGAAUCCUCCACACUGAAACAUUGAUUAGCCCUUUCCCCUCCCAGUAACCAGCUGACACAUAGUUCUGGGAGUACAGGCUGGAAUACCUUUAUUGGCAGCCACAAUUGGCUUUAUAUGCAGGUCUUCAAGCAAGGGGCACUCACCCCUUGACCUGAGAGUAGCCUACAAUAAAAACAUACACACAAUUACAUUGGCUCUCAAGUGCAGGACACUUCAAUACAAAACAAGAUAAUCCCUCCCCUGGGUUUUGGUCCUUGUGAACGGCCGCCUGGGAGCUAGCGAUUGGUUCUAUGCACGGUAAUGGAAAGUGCCGAACCAGUGGAACCAGGGGGAAUAAAAUAUGGAUCUUUACAGUCGCUGACCUGGCCCAUAGUCGGUGGGCAGCAGGCCCUCCAGGAGUCCAUGGCAAACAUCUGUGGAAAGCGGCAUUUGUCACAGAUAUCACUGAUAAGGUGACUUAGGUUCAAUGGGACGUAACCCUUUAUCAUAUUAUUGUAGAAAAACAAUAAGUACCUUCAACUACAGAGUCCAAG
rnacentral:lncRNA from 1 species